UAGCCUCAGCAUACUCGUUCC
rnacentral:miRNA from 1 species